rnacentral:misc_RNA from 1 species
UUGCUUCAAGGGAAAAUACGCCGGUAUCCUCUCCUUCUUAUUCUCUUCUCUCCGAUUUUAGCUUGUUUCGCUAGAUUUUUGUGGAUGUUCUCUAUUUUCUUGUUAGAUCUUCACUGGUUUAGUUGAUUAGAUCUGUGUUUUCUGUCCUCUGAUCGUUUUCAUUUCAAGAUUAUUUGUCGGAUCUAUCUUGAAUUAGUGAUGCUGAACAUCCUUUUCCCUCUUUUUUUUUUUUGAAUU